rnacentral:lncRNA from 1 species
AUGAAACCCCAGUUUGUUGGGAUCUUGCUCAGCUCCCUGCUAGGGGCUGCCUUGGGUAAGGAGGCGGCCAGCUAGCUUCUCACACAGGCCUUCUGCCAGCCGGCUCCACCGAGGGCCCAGGUCCAGCGCCUCUUUUCUCCUGCCAGGAAACCGAAUGCGGUGCUACAACUGUGGUGGAAGCCCCAGCAGUUCUUGCAAAGAGGCCGUGACCACCUGUGGCGAGGGCAGACCCCAGCCAGGCCUGGAACAGAUCAAGCUACCUGGAAACCCCCCAGUGACCUUGAUUCACCAACAUCCAGCCUGCGUCGCAGCCCAUCAUUGCAAUCAAGUGGAGACAGAGUCGGUGGGAGACGUGACUUAUCCAGCCCACAGGGACUGCUACCUGGGAGACCUGUGCAACAGCGCCGUGGCAAGCCAUGUGGCCCCUGCAGGCAUUUUGGCUGCAGCAGCUACCGCCCUGACCUGUCUCUUGCCAGGACUGUGGAGCGGAUAG